GGCGAUGUUUGAUCAUGGCUCAGGACGAACGCUGGCGGCGCGCCUAAUACAUGCAAGUCGAGCGAGAACCAGGGCUUGCCCUGGGGAGAGCGGCGAACGGGUGCGUAUCACGUGAGCAACCUGCCCCGAAGACCGGGAUAACUCGAGGAAACUCGGGCUAAUACCGGAUGCCCUCGAUGGACCGCAUGGUCCGACGAGGAAAUGGAUUCCGCUUCGGGAUGGGCUCGCGGCCUAUCAGCUUGUUGGUGGGGUAACGGCCUACCAAGGCAACGACGGGUAGCUGGUCUGAGAGGACGAUCAGCCACACUGGGGCUGAGACACGGCCCAGACUCCUACGGGAGGCAGCAGUAGGGAAUCUUGCGCAAUGGGCGAAAGCCUGACGCAGCGACGCCGCGUGCGGGAUGAAGGCCUUCGGGUCGUAAACCGCUUUCAGCAGGGACGAAAUUGACGGUACCUGCAGAAGAAGGCCCGGCCAACUACGUGCCAGCAGCCGCGGUAAUAGCU
rnacentral:rRNA from 1 species